rnacentral:tRNA from 1 species
GGGAAUUCAGCGGGACAUCUGGACAAAAGAAAAACGGCCUUCCCACGAUUGAAAUAAAGAACACUACGUUGACAUCGUAGAGGUCGUUGGUUCGAGUCCAAUACCGCCCA